UUACCAGGUCCUGACAUCCCGAUGCUAUUUCUAGAGAUAGAAAGUUACUUCGGUACAUCGGUGACAGGUAGUGCAUGGUUGUCGUCAGCUCGUGUCGUGAGAUGUUGGGUUAAGUCCCGCAACGAGCGCAACCCCUAUUGUUAGUUGCCAUCAUUCAGUUGGGCACUCUAGCGAGACUGCCGGUAAUAAACCGGAGGAAGGUGGGGAUGACGUCAAAUCAUCAUGCCCCUUAUGACCUGGGCUACACACGUGCUACAAUGGUUGGUACAACGAGUUGCGAGUCGGUGACGGCGAGCUAAUCUCUUAAAGCCAAUCUCAGUUCGGAUUGUAGGCUGCAACUCGCCUACAUGAAGUCGGAAUCGCUAGUAAUCGCGGAUCAGCACGCCGCGGUGAAUACGUUCCCGGGCCUU
rnacentral:rRNA from 1 species